AGAGUUUGAUCAUGGCUCAGAACGAACGCUGGCGGCGUGCUUAACACAUGCAAGUCGAACGCGAAAGUUUUCUUCGGAAAACGAGUAGAGUGGCGCACGGGUGAGUAACGCGUAAGUUAUCUACCCUCCCAUCUGGAAUAACCCACCGAAAGGUGUGCUAAUACCGGAUACGUUGGAAACAAGAAAGGUGGCCUCUAUUUAUAAGCUACCGUGGGGGGAUGAGCUUGCGUACCAUUAGCUGGUUGGUAGGGUAAUGGCCUACCAAGGCGACGAUGGUUAGCGGGUCUGAGAGGAUGAUCCGCCACACUGGAACUGAAACACGGACCAGACUCCUACGGGAGGCAGCAGUGAGGAAUAUUGCGCAAUGGGGGAAACCCUGACGCAGCGACGCCGCGUGGAUGAUGAAGGCCCUUGGGUCGUAAAAUCCUGUCAGUUGGGAAGAAAUGCAUAUUGGCCAAUACCCAUUAUGUUUGACGGUACCAGCAAAGGAAGCACCGGCUAACUCCGUGCCAGCAGCCGCGGUAAUACGGAGGGUGCAAGCGUUGUUCGGAAUUACUGGGCGUAAAGCGCACGUAGGUGGUCUAUUAAGUCAGAUGUGAAAGUCCCUGGCUCAACUGGGGAAGUGCAU
rnacentral:rRNA from 1 species